AGGGAGCUGGAGUGAUUGCUUCUACUGGUUCAUUUUGGCUUCAGGUUCCUUA
rnacentral:tRNA from 1 species